UCCCUGAUGGCUCAGACGUUAAAGAACCUGCCUGCAAUGCAGGAGACUCAGGUUUGAUUCCUGGGUUGGGGA
rnacentral:tRNA from 1 species